AGAUUGAACGCUGGCGGCAUGCCUUACACAUGCAAGUCGAACGCGAAAGCGGGGCAACCCGCAAGUAGAGUGGCGAACGGGUGAGUAAUACAUCGGAACGUGUCCAGUAGCGGGGGAUAACCUCUCGAAAGAGAGGCUAAUACCGCAUACGACCUACGGGUGAAAGGGGGGGAUCGCAAGACCUCUCACUAUUGGAGCGGCCGAUGUCGGAUUAGCUAGUUGGCGGGUAACGCCACCAAGGCUACGAUCCGUAGCUGGUCUGAGAGGACGACCAGCCACACUGGAACUGAGACACGGUCCAGACUCCUACGGGAGGCAGCAGUGGGAAUUUGGACAAUGGGCGCAAGCCUGAUCCAGCCAUGCCGCGUGAGUGAGGAAGGCCUUCGGGUUAGUAAAGUCUCGUUUCGGCGUGGGAACGAAAGGUUCGUGUAGAAUACCGACGGAUCCAUGACGUACCAGACAGAA
rnacentral:rRNA from 1 species